CUGGAGUUGGUGCCCUUUAACACUGAGCUAUAUUAACAGACAGGCUCUGAGACUCUAAUGCCCUCAAUAUGCAGUUUCGGUUUCUAGGGAAGAGUCCUGAGAGUCCCAAGGAGCCAUUUGGGAUCUGCCGGAGCAAGAACAACGGGUAAUUCCUGAUCGCUAGUUAUCUGUGGUUGAGGGGCUAGUUGUUGCCUGGUGACUCACUGUGGUGGCCCUUUACUGUCCAGCUGAUGCCCGUGGCAACAUGCCACGUGCUACCGGCACGGGGAGCGGCUGCAGCUCCAGGAUGAGUGAGUCUGUGCUAGAUUUGGGUGUGGGGGGGCGGGUGGUGGUGGUGGGGGGGUGGUGUUCGGGGGACAGACUGCACAGAACCCUUCUCUCUCCCUCACUUCCCAUUCUCUUUCUACUUCAUUAGCGUGAAGAGCUAAAAGCGAUUCCAAGGAAAUGUAGCAGAAGUGUCAGUCCAGCUGCACUCACGUCCUGGCAAAAGGGACAGACCAAGCCGGCUGCUUCUCCAUGUGCUCUGGUGCUGGUCUCCCACCGGGACACAGAGCAGGGCCGGGGCUCCAAGCACUGCUUUAGGGUCUCCCAGAAGUGCAAGGAAGCCUCACGCGAUGCCUGAUUCAGAAGUAGGCUGCUACCAGGCAGCUUUGUGCAUUUGGUGGCUUCCUUGGAAACUCAUCAAAUGCUUGGCACAAAUGCGUCCCUCCUCCAGUGACAGGAGCUCACACUUCGGCAAGCAUCAAACUGCUCUGAAAUGUGAUAACGGCGUCUGUCAAUUUCUGCACACAGAGUGCUGUUUUCUGCAGCGGGACUGUUUGUCUUGGCCUUCUGGAGCUGUAGGAGCUUUCAGACCCCCUACUCCUUGGAGCAAGGUGCUGCUGCAAUGGGGUGAGCGCGGAGCAAACAUUGAAAGGCUUUGAGCUGGGAGCUCAGUGGACCCUCAAAGCUCAUGGAGGACCUGGCAAGGGUUCUCUUAGAAAGGGGCUAAUGGAAAUGUCCUUUAGGAAAGGUGAGGAUUCUUCCUGCUGGAUGCCAUGAAGAUUAAGGAUGACGGAG
rnacentral:lncRNA from 1 species